UAAGGAAAACUCUAAUUAACAUCAUUUGGAAAAUUUGUUUUCUGCAAACGAAAGUGAGAGGAAUGCAAACAGGAGAAACCACGAGGACGACAGCACAAAUGGCGUAAUCACCAUGCCAAAUUGCUUUGAAACUGGGUUGCUUUCUUUCAAUGCCCUCUAUGGUUCUGGCAGGCAUCCUCUCAUUUUACACGGAUCAACAGAAUCAAGAGGUAGUGAGCUGAGUUGCACUGGAAAUGGUGUAGAGAUGGUGGCUGCGUAAAUUUAAUCAAGCCUAUUCUUCCAUUAUCACACUUAGUUUGUAUCCUGAGAAAUGUAGUCUGCUGUUGCCUGCUCUGUAUCCUGAGAGAUGCCUAGCCUGUUUAUGAGAGAUGACUAGCCUGCUUUUGAGAUACGUCUAGUCUGCUUCCGUUCUGUAUCCUGAAUCAUGCCAAGAGUGCCUGCUGCUGACUUCUGGAAUAAAACUCAUUAAAACCCCA